AAGAUCGUAUCAUGACCUCUGUAUAAAUCAGAAUUAUGGAAAGCAGCUGUUUCAUUGAAAUUCACCGACACACAAUCGGCUAACGAAGAUGUAAAUCAAAUUUCUGUGUGUGUCCUUAAAUCAGUUUCAUAAUUCAAAUAUCUGUGUGUGUCCUUAAAUCAGUUUCAUAAUUCAAAUUUCUGUGUGUAUCCUUAAAUCAGUUUCAUAAAGAUCGUGAUUUCUGUUCAAACAUUGUUUAAUGCAAUAUUUUCUAUGUCAUGUGUACAUUGUAAAUAAAUCUUCUUUUUUAUUAGGAAUUGUAACAAAUGUGGACCUAACACAUUGCAUGCAUACAGUGGUUCAGCGUGUUAGAUGGAGGACGACAAUGCUAACUUAAAGCAAACAGAAACUGUAAUUCCAAAGUGUUCAACCAACUAUAUAUAUACAUUAUUUGAAAAAAAUGUAUAACAACAACAAUAAUAAAAAAAAAAACAGUUUGAAAAACACGCGUGCAAAUAUUUAGUCUCUUCAGUUGUUUUCCUACACAUGUAUACAAAUAGACAAGAACAAACUCAUCGUUUCGAAAUUAUCUACGCAUCUGUGUGGUUAUCAAACGAACCUCGUUGAGUCGAAGUCAAAGGGAUUGCAUGAAAGUAUUCUUCUUAUCCGAGGUUCGACUCAGCCAAUGAAAUCGAUGUAGGCGUAAAGUAUUUAUUUUUGGGUUUCAAUACACAAAUACUUGUUGAAAGCGAAACAUAUACAAUAAUUACAGUUUUAUAAUCAUUUUACUUCAUCCUAAUUUGUCUCAGUAUGUUAUUGUUAAUUGUAUAAGCAUGGCACUAUCGCACGUUGUAAUUUUUUAGCAUAAAAGGCCAACCCGUUAAUAAUCAAUGAAAAUUCUAGCCAAAGUGUCAUGUCUUAAAUAUAAUAUAAACUGACACGUUUUGGUGUCUAAAAUAGAUAUUUAUGUGUGUAUUCAAUAUAAGCGCAUGGUGCAUUAGAUAUUUAUGUGUGUAUUCAAUACAAGCGCAUGGUGCAUUAGUCGCCAUUUUACAUCGGGGAAUGGGAAUUAAUGAAGGAUAAAUGUAUUCAGAAAAAGCCUGUGAUUUGUGUAUUUUUGUACAUAUUGUUGUGUUGUUGUAUACUUUUUAGACGUAUGUAUAUACCACCUCCCUCCAGAAAAAAAAAUCAAAAAUAAAGAUCCAUCAAUUAAUAUUUCAAAUUAAGAUAGUAUAUAGUUCCGGUUGGCUAUACUUUUAUAGCAUCUCGGCUUUGAGAUGAGGACUUGGUUAAAUGCCUGAUUAGGAACGUUUGCUAUGUAUGCAUUAAAAAGACUAUGCAGUUAAUCAUGUUAAUGGUCAAAGCAAUGUUGAUCCCUUCGUUAAUUCGAUGUUGUCCUAAUAUUAAACUGUGUAUAGAAAAAUGCACAGCUAAAACUGAUUAUAUUACUGUUUUUUUCUUUUGAAAGGUAAGCUAAUCUAAGCUGAAUUCCUACUUUCAUCACAAUAUGUAAAUUUCAAACACGAUUGUUGCAAUUUUUGAAAAAGUGGCUUGACAAAUUAUUUCUUAUAUAAAGGAAUUAUUUAUCACAGAACAAUAAUUAUUUCUAUCUUAAUUCCUAGGAAUUGAAUAAAUAUACAUGUUGUGGUCAUAAAUUGGUGCUAUAAUUUAUUGAAAGUAAAGUCGAAACUCGUUAAGUCGAAGUCGAAGGGAUCGGACUAAAAUAUUCUAAUCAUCUGAAGUUCGACUCAUCCGAGAUCGAGUGUGUCGUCAUAAAUUUGGAAUGAAUGAAAUUCGGUAUGAUAUUUGUGAAAACUAAAUAUUUUGAACAGUGGGCCUUUUUUCGACAUGAUAACUCGUAUUUGUGGAUUGAAACUCCCUAUUAUCAGUCCAUCAUAUUAAUUAAACACACAAGUACAGAUACAAAAUAUUCACGAUUGAAAUUAAAACAAAAAUAUUUUCAAAGGUCUGUCUUUUUAAAUUAUGGAAUCACUCGCAGAACGAAACAAGUUCUGAAAGAUCUCUGAUGAGGGUCGUCUGCUUUGUAUUCAAUUAUUGUAAAUUUGCUAUAUUUGUCUUCAAAUAAUUAAUUUUAAAUUUAUGACGACACACUCGACCGCGGAAUAGUCGAACCUCGAAUAAUUGGAAUACUUUCAUCCGGUCCCUUCGACUUUGAUUUAACAAGGUUCGACUGUAAUGUAAAAAUAAAAUAAAAUAAAUCACAUUUACAAGGAUAUUUGCCUAAAUACAAUUUGUUAUACCAUCACAAAAAUGAUCAAAACCUUCAAUUUUGUUCAGCAUGCCGCAAUCGACAUUAUGUACUUAAAAAUCUCUCGAUUAUGUGUAUUUGAGUUUGUAGAACUCGUAUGCAUUUGUAAUUGAUUAACUGUCAGUCAAUCAAGUUUAUGCUGUUCAACAAUACACUAGUGAUUUGUUUGCGUUCAUUUUCCCUUAAUUAUACACAGUGAAAAUUUACAUUACCCAAAUUGUCAUCAAAUUGCAA